GCUGACAGUCUUUACAAAGACGGAGUGGGAGCCCGAGCUGGGAGAGAUAUCGGAAGGGAAAGGAGGAAAUGGUGGAAGACACAAAAGAUUUUGAAAACUGAGAGGGAGACGACAAAGCAGAAGGAUUUGAAAAGAAAGUUCAAUGGAUCGCUGAAUUGGAAUUAUCCUGGUCAUCCAACUUGGCCCAACUUGUAAAAGGGGAAGGAAGGAAAGCUUGGAAUGAUUUGGAAAAAUGGGGAUCCCAGCUGGUCGGUUGUGAGCAGCGAUCACAAUGCAGUGAACAUUUAGUCGCUAAUGAUGAACAUUCUUUGACCCUAUCUCGAGACUGAAGAGUGUCAACAGUGAAGGCACAGAUU